rnacentral:tRNA from 1 species
CUCGGUGUAGCUCAUCUGGUAGAGCGCCGCUUUGAAAAGGCGGAGGAACUGGUUCAAUUCCAGUCGCCGAGA